rnacentral:rRNA from 1 species
UACGAGGGGGGCAAGCGUUGUUCGGAAUUAUUGGGCGUAAAGGGCGCGUAGGCGGUGCGGUAAGUCACCUGUGAAAACUCUGGGCUCAACUCAGAGCCUGCAGGCGAAACUGCCGUGCUUGAGUGUGGGAGAGGUGCGUGGAAUUCCCGGUGUAGCGGUGGAAUGUGUAGAUAUCAGGAAGAACACCGGUGGCGAAGGCGGUUUGCUGGGCCAUCACUGACGCUGAGACACGAAAGCGUGGGGAGCAAACGGG